GCGGGUGUAGCUCAGUGGUAGAGCAUCUCGUUGCCAACGAGAAUGUCGUGAGUUCGACUCUCAUCACCCGCUCCA
rnacentral:tRNA from 1 species